GCGAGGGCGGCCACGGGUAGAUGGGGAAUGCGGAGGCUCCUCAGGAAAACGAAGCGCGAGAGAAUGGCGUUGGGAGGAAGGAAGGGAGCUUCGGGAGGCAGAUGCGCCUUCCGUGGAAGCGCACCGAGCGCUCCACGUACCCGCACUGCGCGAGGUGGCCCCUGCGCCGGCACCUUGGCAACGCGCCUGGCCCACGCCGGAGGGGCCCCGCACGCCUCCUGGCGAGUCAGGAUCCAGGCUCCUCUUUGAGCCUGUGGGUGUUACACGGGGGUAGAAUUCUAACCCCUCCACCCCCUACCCUCCCCAGCAGUCCCACACUGGUACGGGAGAGAAUGAAGUUCUUUGUCUCUAAGUGAUCCAGACCAGAAACGGAGGGACCUCUGGUUCCCAGAGGGAGGAGAAUCCAUGAUGUCUGCUGCCCGGGGAGUUGUUGCCACAACCUCCCUGGGAUGAAGUAUUGCCAACUACCAACAGUUCUUUCCCAACGGCCAUCUCCCCGGCCUUCUUAAACCACUCCUGGCAUCUUCUGGAGGCUCUUGAAGGGUUGAAGCAAAGGAUAUCCCUGAAGGGAUUUAUCCCUUUAUCAGGAGCAGGAAUAAUUUAGGCUGUUCUAUGUUGAGCACUUUUUCCUGUCUCUCCAAGUUCAAUUUGUAUGUGUGUCUUAAUUUCCAAGCAACUUUAGCCAACAAAUCCUCACAGAAUUCUUCGUGGAAAAAUUUUUAAAUAGUCUUAAUAAUUGAUUGUUUUUCUCUUCUGAGGUGUUCUUUUUAAAAUCCAUGUGGAGAUGGAGAAGACUAACAUCCUCUGGCCUAAUGUGAAAACCUCUAAUUAAAACUGUGUCUCUUCCUUCAGGAAGCCAACUUGAAGGCCGUUAUUCCAGAUGUGAGAGCAAGUGGGGUCCCAGACCAGCAUCUUCAGCAUCUCCUGGAAGCUUGUUAGUAUGACCUGGCUAAACCACCAGAAAACUGAAACCUGGGAAGAGAAGGUCUUCUGAGAAGGGAAUUCUUGAUUCCAAACCAUUAGGUUUUAAACAGUGGUGAUCCCUUUGAUAAGAAGACCCCCAUCUAUUACCUGGCUUCUGCAAUCAUGCUUACCAAUUGCAUCAGCCACCUGAGACUCCACCUCUCGGACCACCCCAACCUCAUAAAAGUGGAAAAAACGGGGUAGAAGGGGCUCAGAAUUUGGUGGCCAGACCCCUCUGAGCCAGUCGAAUAAACCUUGAUUCUCUGACUCUCCUAGUGCUGCUCAGUUUAUCCUUGGAACCACCCGCUGUAACACUUGCUUUAACACCUUAACUGAGACAUUAAGGAAAUGUGAUCUGAAAGGCCAAGAGAAACAAAGUGGAGUUGCUAGCUAAAAGGAAGCCUAAGAAAACUGCUUAGGAUCCAAAAUCAAGUCCCUAAUCAAUUCCCUAUUUUAUCCUUA